rnacentral:rRNA from 1 species
UACGUAGGGUGCAAGCGUUGUCCGGAAUUAUUGGGCGUAAAGAGCUCGUAGGCGGUUUGUCGCGUCUGCUGAAAACCUAAGGCUCAACCUUGGGCUUGCAGUGGGUACGGGCAGACUAGAGUGCGGUAGGGGUGACUGGAAUUCCUGGUGUAGCGGUGGAAUGCGCAGAUAUCAGGAGGAACACCGAUGGCGAAGGCAGGUCACUGGGCCGCAACUGACGCUGAGGAGCGAAAGCAUGGGGAGCGAACAGG